rnacentral:rRNA from 1 species
GAUGAACGCUGGCGGCGUGCCUAAUACAUGCAAGUCGAGCGAACGGACGAGAAGCUUGCUUUUCUGAUGUUAGCGGCGGACGGGUGGGUAACACGUGGAUAACCUACCUAUAAGACUGGGAUAACUUCGGGAAACCGGAGCUAAUACCGGAUAAUAUUUUGAACCGCAUGGUUCAUAAGUGAAAGACGGUCUUGCUGUCACUUAUAGAUGGAUCCGCGCUGCAUUAGCUAGUUGGUAAGGUGACGGCUUACCAAGGCAACGAUGCAUAGCCGACCUGAGAGGGUGAUCGGCCACACUGGAACUGAGACACGGUCCAGACUCCUACGGGAGGCAGCAGUAGGGAAUCUUCCGCAAAGGGCGAAAGCCUGACGGAGCAACGCCGCGUGAGUGAUGAAGGUCUUCGGAUCGUAAAACUCUGUUAUUAGGGAAGAACAUAUGUGUAAGUAACUGUGCACAUCUUGACGGUACCUAAUCAGAAAGCCACGGCUAACUACGUG